UGUUUGAUAUAGCUUGGCUUUUUUGACAACUCUUGGAGUCUUUUGCAUGUCUUAUGCUAUGUUUCCGUCGAUAUCGAGUCUUAUGUACGCCCUCUUUCUCAAGAAAACAAGGUGGCCACAAGAAACCUUCUGCAUAUAUAUACCCAAAUGGAGACUCAUCAACCAUUUCUAUUAAGAAAAUGAAUAGGAACAGAUGCUCACUUUCUCUGUAAAUGAGUGCAAGUGUUAACUUGUGGUGCAACUUCUCAGGACCCAAUUACUUUUUGGAGUUUGGUUGAUUACCAUUUCCAUCUGUUUCUUAUAUUCGAGUGAGGUAGAUUGGCAACUGUAACAAAAGGCGAAACGUAAAGGCGAUAUAUUCCUGGAAAAGACCUAACACGACUCGAGUCAAUUGCGUCUUCGUCAAUCUAAUUCUUUCUUGAUGCAAGUAGGCGUGAGUCUUAGCUUUCUUGUUCACGUACUACUGUACUGCAGCCAACAGGCAUCUUUAUCAUAUAUUUGGUAUCCGGUGGACUUGUUCUUGUUUGUUCGCAUUCACAUGCAAUCGUUUGCAUGNNNNNNNNNNNNNNNNNNNNNNNNNNNNNNNNNNNNNNNNNNNNNNNNNNNNNNNNNNNNNNNNNNNNNNNNNNNNNNNNNNNNNNNNNNNNNNNNNNNNNNNNNNNNNNNNNNNNNNNNNNCAAAUUUUUAAGAACAUUUCCUGUGGUUUGUUUCAAUUAUGUACAUCCUUGUCUUGUUACACCAAAAAUGCAUCAGUCUAGUAAGUAGUUCUCAGAUUUAUUGGCUUUCUUUAGAGCAUCAGUCGCUCAACUUAGUUCAUUAAACUGAAAAUCCAUCAAAACCAUAUAGGUAGGUCAUUUGGCCAGAUAUUCUUAUUCUGGCUUGUUAACACCUUUGCCUGCUUGCUCUAUUCAUGCAUGCGUGCCUACUUUCGAAUAUUUGGAACAUUUUAAGCUGUGUAUCUAUUGUUGGUGGAAUUUGUUACUACAAAAAUACUUCUUCAUGGUUUAUACUUCAUCAAUGCUAGGAAAAAAAUAAGUUAAAGAACACUUCACCAAGAGUGAGAUUUGACUUCACCAAUGCAUGUAUUAGUAUGUUGUUCACUGUGGUUAGUUUUUUGUUUGAAUGGACUACUUUCCAUUUGAUUUCCUUUUUAGUUUCAAAAUAUUGGCCAUCCUCAUCUUCGUAUUACUUUAAAUUUCUCGAACAAUGCACAGACUAGUAAAAUGUUUGCAACUUCUAUCCCUUGCAUUUGAAAUUGGUUGUUUCAUGUUAGUGCCAUGCUCAACUGUUCAACAUCAGAAAUGGAAUGUGUUUAGCAUUCUGUCUACCUAAAAUUGAGGCCCUAAGAAUUUAAGGACCAUAUCCUUCCCUUGCACUGUCGAUGUCGAACUAUCAUAAAUGUAAUCCAUAAAUCAUUGUUUGUAAAAAUUCGGUCAUCUGUGGCUGAAAUAGCAGAUGGUUCUUGGAUUUUGAAUUAGUAUCUUCUUUCCUAUUCACAUCAUGCGGUUUCUAUUUUGUGUAAAGCAGUAUAUUAACAAUCUUCCUUCAUGGCCUGAAACAUAUAGAAUCUUGCCUCUCAUUUUCAUGAAUCAUAAAAUUUUGUCUUUAUAAUUAUACAGCCUUGGUGUAGGGAUGAGUUAAGAUUUAAAAUAUAUUUACCUUUUGGCAUAAUCUAUAAAAUGUUUGGAUCAAAAAUUCGUGUGACUUAUAUCUUGUAACUUGGAUUUCUUAGGUCAGAUGAUUCUUCUUCUUGUUUUUUUUUGGUUGUUGUAAGCCCUACUUUGAUUCGAAAGAUUGUUUAUUUUAGCACUUUUGCUCCCAUGAUAGUACCUACUAACCACCCUCCAUUCCAGUUAGUACCUAAAACCUUAUUUUUCUUUCUCUGAAGGAGUAUCUAAAGCCCAUUCGAUAUAAAAAAAUACUUUGUUUGGCUUAAUUAGCAUUAUUCUAUUUCAAAAAGAAAAAAAAUCAUUAAUUUGGAAAUAAAGCAUGAUAGCACAGGCAAUCUCAGAUUAUUCUUUUCUUUCAAGUAGUAACUUUGCUGAGUUCAUAAUAUUCUCUUCCGUAAUUUGAACUCUCUGUGACCAUUAAGUUAUAUGUAAUGGAUUUGGUUUCCAUUUGAGUGCACACUUCGAAUACUGAUUAACAAAAUCUUGUCCACACUGUGGGUGGCCUUUCAUUCUUUACAAAUAAGAAUCCAAUAAAUUCCAAGCGCAUAUCGCCCAAAUAUAGGUCUCUAAGCAUUACUGUUUAAUUAUUCUUUGUUAUCCUGCAGACUAAGGAAUACCGGGAAUGACUAGGAUAACAGUUAAUUCAAAUACAACGAGGGUUCCACCACCUUGUUUUGGAAAAUGAUUCUCUCGUACCAUAUUUUAAACGUAGAAUAUAUGUUAUUCAUCAGAGUUCCAAAUCCCUCUACUUGAUGAAUAUUAAGGCUUUAGUUCCAUUGCCUAGAUUGGAUGACUCCUCUAGCUGUCGAAGCUUCCAGUAGGAGGACAUGAAAUUGAUUGAUAUCUACAUCUCUAUCCCAAGUAGUCCCAUCGAAUGAUGUUCUACCAUGGGUUUAUCUUAGACUGUGCUUUAUGGACUCUGAUAUUUAAUAAAGCGACUCGACCGUUAAUGGAUCACUACUUGACUUCCCUAAAAUUUUAAAGAAAUUAAGGUGCUACUUGGAGCAUCGAUGGAUAUCGAUAUCUUAUCAAACCUGAGACAACUGAUAAUUAGCUUUGAAAUCAAAGCUCGGGUUCCGCCAUUUCUUCAUUAUUGUUUGGCAAGCAGUACUCUUUAGCCUUCACUUGAUCACAAAAAUAAUCUUAUCCUAUUAUGGCCUUGCAUGACUACAUGCGUGCAAUCAAGUAACCCCCCCUAUAGCUUUCCGACACUGACUACACGCAUGUAUGCGUGAAGGGUUCUUUAUUUUUUUUUGGUAGAAAGCAGCAUUCAUAUAGCUCUUAUAUGGGUACAGCUACCAAGUCAGAAACAAUAAAAUGAUACAAGGGAGAGGGAAUCUCAGUGGCAGUAGUCCAAAAAUACUCUCUAGAGUGCCGAGCAACAUAGAAGACGAUUCAAUCUGCAACUCUAUUCGCCUUUCGAUACACGUAUGCUGCCUGUAAGAAGGCCAAUUUUUUGACCAAUCUGCGAGUCUCACGAAUCAGUAGAUGACCAUCCCCAUAUCGAUCACCUUUCUCUAUCCAAUCGGUCACCAUAGAAAAAUUUCCUCGAUGUCUACAUCACCAUGAAGGGUUCUUGAUUCCAUAAGUACGUAGGACCGGGGAAUAAGUUUGUACGUUUGGCGGAUAGGGCAUCAACCAAGGUGCCGUCCAAGUUAUCGCGUGCAAUGGCCUAACUCUUUGUCCUGCAUGGGUGGCUUGUCCCGUCUCCCAUUCCAUCCAAGUGGCAAAAGUCUUCAUCUCCUCCCCCAUGGGCCAUCUCAAUGAAUGAAUUGCUCCAGAAGUAUCCAUGCCUUGAAUUGAAACGUUUUCCGAUUAGGCCCGUGCAAAAGACGUGAUAGAGGUGGGUGCAAAUUUUUGAUUAAAUUUGAAUAAAUUUAAACUCUUAAUUUAACGUUAAAAAAUUUAACCGAAGAAAAAAAAUUAAAUAUUUAUAUAGAACCAAAAAAUUUAAAUAAUAUUUUUGAGCUAGUUUUUUUUUGAAUAAGAGUUAUGAGAGAGACCAGCUCAUAGUGGUAUGAAAAAUUAAAGUUCAUAUAGAUUAUUAGAGUUACUUCAAAGAAACAGGAUUCUUCCUGUCCUCGAGUCCUCAUUUUGCUCAAAUGAUUGGUCAUGCUGUGGGAGAAAAUGUUGCUGCAAAUAUUUCCUUUUGUGAAUUUAUUAUAUAAUUUAGCUAUAUUAUCAUAUCUUAUAGUUGCAUUAUUAUAUUUUUUUUUAAUUGGAGGAGAUUAAUUUGCAGGAUCAUUCUAAGAAUUGCUAAGGACAUAUUGCUGUGUGAAGGUAACCGUGCCCUUUUUCCUUCAUUAAUUGUUUAGAGAUCUCAUGUUUGGUAUGUUUGGAGCCAUUGGCUGCAUCAAUGAGAGGAGGAGGUAACCAUGCUAAGACUGAACAUUUUGGGUCAAAACAACUGCAACGGAAACCAAUGAUGCCGUAUACACCUUUCCAUUUGACUUAUCUAAUACAGUGUAUGGGGAUACUUACUCCCAAAUUGUCCCACAUUGCGGCCUGCUACUUUCUUUUCCCAGAGACAUGAUAGACUAUUUAGGUUGGAACACAGAGGAAACUGUUGUCAGCCAUCCGAAACCAAAGGCUCAUUUCGUAAAGUUGGUGGUUUUAUUUUAUAUUUGUUUAUGUGAGCAGCUUUGGGCCUGCAUGUGGAUAACAAGCCGGGCUUUCGUUUGGGACAAGAUAUUCUUUACCCGCCCAAAAUCCUAUGCAGAAUGGGCUAAUCUCCCGUUGAACUUCACGGUCAAUUUCUACUACAAAUUUCUACUGCAGAAUAGGCUAACAUCAGAAAUCAGAUGGUCAUAAUUUCUACUGCAAAUUUCUCCAUUGGCAAUUUUUUUUUCUUUCUAAAUCCCUCAGCGAAGCAUUCACCGAGCCUGUAGAAUAGAAAAGUCUACGUCGAACGUUUUCUUGCAUUAUUUACAUGCAGACUUGGCUAUACUCUCACAAGACAAGCUAUCUGUUUGAUUCACCAUGGUUGUAAAUUAUGUGUGGACUUAAACAGUCUUAGAUAUGCUUUGAAUUUGAAAUAUACAGCGGUUAGUCCGUCUGACCGGUCGGUUAGGUCAAAUGAUUUGAUUGCCUGCUAUAGUCAUCUGCUCUGUUCGGCAACUUGAUCAAUUGCUUAAAUUGGUAGCUUGAUCGGAUUCUCUGUACGAUAUUCUGGUCAACUAAUUUGAUCAGUAACAGUGGAUGAAUUCAGACCACAACAAUACCCCCCCUUAUGGAAGGUUCUUUGGAUCUCACAAAAGCGAUCUCUACCGGCUGCGAAUCCCAAGGGAAAAAGCUAGAAAUCAAGCAAAGAUUGUGUUGACCGAACUCCCAACGUAUGCCCAUCAACCGCGGACCCCACACGCAGUGUACAUGCCGAGUCACCUCAUCCUCCCAGUCCCUUCCUACAUCAACCAAAAAGAGUGAGUCGUACCCACCCAAUUUCCCGGCUGGUGUUGCAUGUAAUGUGUAUGCAAGAAAAUGUGGCAGUCCCUUGCUUAAUGAACAAGUCAAAAAGGCUUUAAGAAGUCCAUCAAUUGAUUGAUUGAUUGCUGCUAUUUCUUUACCUGGUUAUCGCCCUUUGGUUGAAAGGAAAAGCAAGUCCAUCGCUGGUUAUUGCCAUUUCGUUUUCCUAUGUCACAAUCCUAAGCUAUUUGAGGCUUCCGCAUAGACUUCGCUUAAAUUCUGAGUCACAGGCUUGGCAAAGAUAUACAUGUAAACGUAGAAUAAAUUAUCCUUUCAACAAAGUAUCUACCACGUACCACAUGGCACUGCCUGGUUAGAUAACUUAAUCAUAGCAAGCAUUUCAUAGUGAUUAGCGACAUGGCGUUAAACGCCAAGCAGUCGGCAUCUUGCACGACCUUCUCCUCUUCGUUUCCCAUUCCAUGUUCAUUCCCUGUAAUCCAACUGUAUCAAAGCGCGUCCAAGGGAAGCCUCUCAGAAAACGGCAACCUCACUCCCUCCCUCCUCUUAUACCCCGCGCGGCCGCGCCUCCCCUCUCGCCGCCACCCCACCAAAUGAAACACCAACGAUAGCGUUAACAGAUCCCGAAACAACCGCUUAUCCCGGAAUAACAUAUCCGCGUCUAUGGUCGUGCCGAAGCCAUGGCGGAACGGUCCGGACCGCGAGUGCCUCGACCUCCGGCUCGACGAACCGGCCGGCGGGGGGAAGGCCCCGGGUAUCGGGAUCCUUGCCUUCGAGGCCGCGGGCGCCAUGUGCAGCCUCGUGUCGCUCCAUCGGUCCCUCUCCGAUCCCGAAAUCCUUAAACUCCGAUCCGAAACGAUGCGCUCCCGGGGCGUGGCCUACCUCAACUCCACCGACCAAGCCCUCCUCCUCCGCCUCGCCUGUGCCGAAUUCGUCGCCGACCUCGACCGCGCCGCCGCCGCGGCCUCUCGCCUCGCUUCUCGGUGCCAGGGGGCCCUCGCUCAAAGGUUCGACCGGGUCUACGCCAACCUCAAGGCCGGCUCGGCCUAUCUUGACCGGAUCCCUGUGAGCCUUAAAGGGGUCGAGAAAAGGAUGAGAAGCAUGGAGCGACACGUCGCGGCGACUGCGAGAUUAUACGAGGAGAUGCAGGUCCUGGGCAUGCUGGAGUCGUCGAAGCGGAAGUGGGACCGGUACAGCGGGCCGAUACCGUUGCAGAAGCCGAGCAAAGCGGAGUCGGUGAAGCUCGAGCUGAAGUCGCAGCGCGAGAAGGUCUUGAGGCUGAGGAAGGAGUCGCUGUGGAACCAGAGCUUCGACAAGGCCGUCCGCCUCAUGUUGGAAGCCGUCUGCGGCGUUUUCGCUCGAAUCUGCGCCGUCUUCGGCCGGUUCGUACCGACGCUGCCGCCGGUCCUCGUUUCGCCCAGCGCAUCUCCUGCCAGUUUCGUUCCGGCCCGUCCCAAGUUACGACUCUAUCCCCGGUUCCCAGCCAAGCACUCGUCAGGUCCGCUUGAGAGACCGGCGGUAAAGCACCUAAUUAUCCCAAAUUCCUGCCCCAUAUUCCGCACCAAAGAAUCGGAGCCGAAACACUGGAGCAGGUUACUGCAGCCGGCACCGAACACUGUGGGUGGUGCCGGGCUAGCGUUGCGAUACGCUAAUGCGAUUGCACUGGCUGAGAAGAUGUUGACGACAAGGUCUAACUCCGGCGAACCGGAGGCGGGGGAGGCGGCGGCGAGGGAGGAGCUGUACGAAAUGCUGCCUGCUGGGCUCCGGGCGAUGGUGAGGUCGAAGCUGAGGGCUUGCUGGAAGGAGCGGGGGCCGAUGGACGGAAGGUUGGCCCAAGGGUGGAAGGAGGCGGUGGAGAGAAUACUGGCAUGGCUGGGACCGGUGGCAAGUGACACGAUUCGGUGGCAUGAAGAGCGGCACAUGGACUGGAGGCAGCGAUUCGACCCAAGUCCGAGAGCGCUGAUGCUUCAGACGCUGCACUUCUCCGACCGGGAGAAGACGGAGGCGGCGAUCGUCGAGGUUCUGGUUGGGUUGAGCUGCGUGUGCUGGUACGGGGAGCAGCGCCGUGGGUCCUUGCGGGUUUCAUGCAAAGCAUUGGGCUAGCUUGACGUUGUUAUUUGACAUCUGGAUGGAAGCUUGCAUCAUGCCAGGCUUAACCUGUACCGAUAUCAGGUUCAAGUCUUGAUGUCAAUGAACAAAGUUUAGCUGAAGUUUGAGUACUAAAUUAUCGACGCUUUGGCUUGCUUAUACUUAGAUAGAAAGGGUGAUUUCAUGUUUGCCUGUGAGCCUACACUGAUUUUUUGUUCGGGGCCAUUGUACACAGUUUGAUUCAAACAGAACGGGUUUUAUCUUUCUGUGAAUCCACCGUUGGAUCAUCCACAGAUUGCUUUGAGAUUUGCUCAUAUGCUUUGAGAUCUGUAAAGUAGGUAAUCCAAUGGUGUAUUUAUGCAAAGAAAGGUGAAUCUAGUCAUGAUUCAGAUGUAAGUUAGGAGUUAUUCUCAACUGUUUGUUGAGAAAGACCAAUUGGUUAUCCUUCUCUGAUUCAUAUUUCUUAUGUUUGCCCCGGACGGUUGACUCCGUUUGCGUUGCGAACGAAAGCGGCACAUGGCCGGCCGUCACCAUCGCUGAAAUGCUUUGGAUAUUUUAUAACAUAUGGCUGAUUGAGAGAACGAAUCAGAUGCUUGAUUAUUUUACAUGAUGAACUCUUUAUUAUACAUGAUUUUUUAUUUUAAAAAAACCAUGAACUCUUCUUUUUCUUUGUUUUGAAAUUCUUAUACGUAGAAAGAUUGGCCUAAUUAUGGAUGCUUAACUAAUAGGAAAAUUAAGUUCUAUCAGCAUCAAAAGUAAAGCUGGUAUGCAUAAUUGGAAAAUCACGAGUUGGAUUAUCGGUCCCAUUCAUGUCUGCCUCCUUUUAUUUGUUGUAAUAUCAGCAAAAUACUCAAAGGAAAAUGAAAUUAUUAUUCCAUACAUUGCCUAAUUAGAAUUUCAUUGAUUGGUUGUCUAUGGUUACCCUUCUUUUUGAGGUCAUGCAGCUAAACCAUGCAUGUCUUUAGCCAUAUGAAAUAUAAUGAUUCAUCGUGGUUUCAGAGGACUUUUUAACAAUUAUCUCAUUUUAACCCAAUUUAAAUGGAAAAUUCUAACUUUUCACUGCAUCCAUUUAAUUUUAUCUAGGAAAAAUGUACAAAAGUAUACUAAAGAUCAUGCCCAAUUAUGGUAUCUAGUAAGAAUCAACCCAUUGGUAUGGAUACAUGGAGGUAUGCUUUAUAUGACAUAAUUCCUUUGAUUGUUCUCUUAGUGGAUUUCAGGUGAGCAUCAAAUUCACCAUCCACUUGGCAUGCAAAGCAUGCCGUAUAUAUGCAGAUGGUUAGGGACAUGGGAGGUCUGCUUUUUGCGACAAUGCUGAUGACAAACCUAGCUUUCUUUCGACUGUGGGCAUUAAAUAUGCCAUGUGGCAAUUGAUUAAAUGGUUAGGUAUCUUAAAUAGUUAAUAGUUAACUAAUAAAUUCAAAAUUAUGGAUCAUUUUAUGAGGUCAAACUUCCUACCAAUCCAAAUGAAAUUGUGAAUUUGCCAUAGUGGUGCGUUCGCCACCUCCCCUAUCAAACAGCCAUAUGGCGCUGGCUCCUUUCGUCUACGGUCAAGAACCCCUUGGAAGCCCAUUUUUAAUGGAUAGGAAUCUAACUAAAGCCCUUAAAAGAAGAAGGGGUGGUGCAGUAAUUUCGCAUACUAGCCCUUUGUCUAUAGAAGUUUCACACAUGUACCGGUGCCGUAUGUAGUUUUCUAUUUUCCGAUCUUGUUGGCCGUAUUCAUAUCUGUCGAGUGUGAGCUGCAAAAAAUUUUUUUUUUACGCGUAGCCUGAAAAAUAGGAUACCCACUUUGGGCCCUGUAGUAGUUUUUUGUUUUUUUGUUAAGGCAAACGAGUCAGACUAUAUGAGUACGAACACAUCCAAUAAAAUCAGAAAACAACACAUCACGAAAUAUUCUAGUCAACACUUUUUUUCGAGUCUAUAAAGUGCCAUCAUAGUGAUUGGCUACGUAAACAGCCAUUUAAUCUACAGUAUUAGUGGCCUCUCUAAAAUAUGUUUAGCCUGGAACGCCAUCCGGUCCGGCCCAUCUAUCAAAGCAGGUCUUUUAGAAAAUAUGGACUAGAGCGCGGGCCGGGCUCUCGCCGACCCUUCGGCCUUCGUACGGCGCGGCACGGUUUCCUCCGGACGCAAACUUAUUUAUAUUCUUCCCUCGAUACCCUGUUUCUCGUCCGCAACCCACUCCCCCUCUUUUCUCCCUCCUUCCCCACUGCUCUCGAAACCCUGGACCUCACGAAGCCCCAAGUUUCUUUAUGAUAUCACCCUCGAAUCCGCUCGGAUUCGCGUAUCUUCCGCUCUCCGUAUCUCUCCCGGAGGUUCUCUGCCCCCGCUUCCGCUUUUGGGAGACGUUGGUUGAUCGCUGGAGACAGCGAUCAGGGUCUGCGCUGUUUACAUCCUUGUUGUCGACGACGCCAUUAGCAAGGUGCGCGACGGGUUCGUGAAUUUCGGGUUCGGAGAGAAUGUAUUGAACGAACUCCCAUUGGUAAACCCUCUUCCUCAUUUUGUUCCAAGAUAAGUUAAAGUUUUUUAACUGAUCAAUUUGUUAUCAGGGUUCAUUUGUCUUCUGGCAAGCUAUUGGAAUCAAAGAAACUAAAAUGUUAUUUCCUCUUUUGAUUUUUGUUUUUUGUUUCGUUGGAUCUAUUUAUGCACUAAUUUUCUCCAAAAACAGGCUAAAUUUUCCAAUCCGAUCCGCUUUAAGGGUUUUAGUUGUCUUCUGGCAAGCUAUUGCAGUCAAAGAAACUAAAAUGACUUUUUAUUACCUUUUCUUGCAUUAUUGUGGUUUAACAUCCGCAUGGAUACCUUUUUAUUUCCAGAAAAAGGCUAAAUUUCGUCAAUCUGCUGUGGUUUAUGGUUAUUAGUAUCUUCUUGAUAAGCUAUUGGUCUCUCUCUUCUUUUUCCCAUCUACGAGUCUUUUGAUUUUUCACGUAAUAUCUGUAUGUACGAUUUUUCCCAGUAAAUGCCUUUUUUUGAUAGAAAAGGCUAAAUUCUUUAAUCUGGUAUAUUUUUAGGGUUUCAAUUGUCUUCUCUAGGCUAUUCGGACAAGAUUUAUUUUUCCUUGUUUUUUUUUUUUGGGCCUUUUGGCUUGAUCAUGGCGGAAAAAGAAAAAAAAAUCUAGCUAUGGGAGACGAAGAUGAUGUAAACUGGGGCUGUAAAUGGAACAGUGGAGAGGUCAUCCGUCCAGAAACCUGCUGGACCGAUCACCACUGUUCAUGCCCUUAAUGUAUACCAUAUCAAGGGCCAAUAGAGGAUUAUGAGACCCCAACAGCUGAGAUGCUUUUUCUGCCAGUGUGCUCUCUGCCUUCGUUGAUCAUUUGACCCAGAUGCAUUGUGUUCAAGUAAAAACCUCCCUUCUUUUUGCGUUACACAUGUAAUUUAUUUGAUUAUUUUUUCAAAAAAUAUGGCAAAGUUACACAUGUAACUUUGCCAUAUAAUUAUGCACCAUGACUCUUGUGUGAGCUUUAGUACUAAUGCUAUCAAGGUUUCAAAUACUGCAGAAUGGGGCAGUACGUAGUAUGAAUGUUACUGUAGUAUUCUGGUAGGUCUCCUGCAUUGGUACACAGUCCUGCACCAUGUGUUCAUACAUGGUACCAUACCAUUUUGGCAAAAAAUCGGUACAAGAUUGUGUACUUGUACUUGAAAUCUUUGAUGCUAUGUUAUUUUCGCAGUGUACUUUUCGAUAUAGAAUAAAACCUACUAUCUUGUUCCACCGAAUGUGUCACAAUAGCUUGAGACUCAUUUGCAUGUCACCUGCUUCCUCAUUAUGCAAUACUUGCUGAAAAUAUAAAUUACAUGAUACUCUAUCAUAAACAAAAAAAAUAAAAUAUUAUUGAAGCUUAGAUGACCAAGAAACUAUGAAGCAUGGAUACCAAUGCAAGAUGUGUGUGUGUGUGUAUACACGAUACGAUUAGGGCUGGAAAUGGGCUCGAGCCGGCCCAAGGCCCAUUUGGUUGGGUCGGGCUUCGAGCUAGGCCCGAAAGAAUGUAGACCGGGUUUGAGCUUAAAUGUAGAGCCCAUUUGUUUUUCGGGCGGGGCUCGGAUAUGUCAAGGACUAAAUCCGAAUCAAUUUAUUUUUGUAUGUUGUUAUUUAGAAAGAAUAAUGAGAAAAUAAAGGACAAAUUAAAAUGGGUUUAGCUGAGAAUAAUGUAUCAUGUAUCAUUUAUUUUUUGUUAUAGGAGAAAAUUCAAUUUUUAGCUAGCUCAUUUACUUGUGAAGCAAUAUUAUGAAAAUGUUAAAUUUCAAUUAGGUUCGGGCGAGACAUAUUUUUUGCCCAAAUGGGUAAAUUCAGGUUGGCCCAAUCAGGUUCGGAUCGGGUUCAGGCCUGGGCUCAGGUCGGGCUCAGACCUGGAUUAUCCAAAAACUUUCGGGCCUAAGUCCGACCUGGCCCACUUCACUACAGAAAAAGUUGGCUAUCCCGACAUCUAUAUGCCGACGCUAGGUAGAAGUGUCGGUAAUUUUGGCUCCAACGCCAAAAUUUGCCAACGCUUCUAAAUAGCAUUGGCAGGCAUGAUAUUACGACGACGCUAGAUAGCGUUGUGCAAAGCAUGACGCUUACUAGUAUCGUCGGAGGCCAAAUGGGGAAAGAGGGAAGUGAUUAGACGACGCUUAAAAGCGUCGUCGGAGUCCUAAUGAGCCGGGACCAAGGAUGACACAUAUAUAUGUUAUUGUUGGAGGCCAAAUCUUGCCCCCAAGACGACGCUUUAAAAUGCAUCGUAGGAGGCUUAAUUGCCCCUAAGACGACGCUUUAUAAAGCGUCGUCGGAGGCUCAUUCUCACCCCCGGCCCCCACCCCCAUCCACAUAAAUCCUAAUCGUCCCCCCUCCCGAUCCCUAACCCCUCCAGCCGCUCCCCUCAUGACCCCUAACCCCUCCAGUCGCCUCCCUCCUUAUAAAUCUCUAAUCCAAAUCCACCAAAUCGUCCUCCUCUCAGAGCCAUGGCCAUGGUCCCCCCUCCCUCCACCACCAUCCCGCCCUCGCCUCUUCCUUCUCUUCGCCUUCCCUCGUGCGACCGUCUAGGGUUAGGGUUUUCCAUGGUGUUUUCCCUCUUCGAUGCUCCCAUGGCGAGGUCCCCUCCCCCGCCUCUUCCUCUUUUUCUUCCUCGCCUCCGGUCGAUCAGGGACUGCCCCAGGAAGCUGUCCUCAAGGCCAUCUCCGGUGAGCCCCCCAACCCCUUCUCCCCCAACUCUAAUUUUUUGCUGGUUUUGGUUGCAGAAGCGGAGAGGGUUGAAGGAAAUGGAUAGCAUGGACAGUGAUUUGGAAUAGUGAUGGAGAUGAAUAAGAAAAUAAGAAUCCGAAGCCAGGGGUGGAGAGAAAAUAAGAAAAAAGAGGAAGCAAAGAUCGGGCGGUGGAGCGUUUGCGAUGCUUUUGUUUUGAGGUGUUCUCCUCCCAAGAUGCCCUAAUCUUGGCAUCUUGCUGUUUCUCGCUUAUUUUUCUUCCUUAAAUCUUUGGCUUUUUGUUUUCUUUAAUCUUUUUGGUUGUUCUCUCAUGCGGAUGGAGAAGUGGUGUGGCCCUUCCAAUCCUCGAGCUCUUGUACAGAUCUCCAAUCCCCAUUUUAAUGACAAGAAAUUCAUCGAAUGAAAUUAAAAUGUGGCUUCUUUAAUACAUGUGAUAACUGUGGCUUCUUUAAUACACUGUGUGACUGUCUAGGGUUAGGGUUUUUAAAUAAUUUUUUUUACAAAAUAAUUAUAACGACGCUUAUAAGCGUCGGCAGAAAUCAAGAGAGCCGAUGCUUAUAAGUGUCGGCAAAGGCCUGAGCGAGCCUGACGCUUAUAAGCGUUGGCAAAGCUUCGGUUUUUACUGACGCUUUUUGAAAGCGUCAGCAAAAAAAGUUUCCACUUUUAGUUUGCCGACGAUUUUGCGACGCUUUUGAAAGCGUGGGUGCCAAAAUUACCGACGCUUAUAAGCAUCGGUAUAGGCUCUGAAAAGCACCGGAAAAGACUUUUUUUGUAGUGCUUCCAGCCCUAGACACGAUAUGCAUACAUUGGUAUGAUAAAUAUUGAGAGAAAAGAAAAAGAAGGAGGAAAGAAAAUAAAUCCUUCUCCCUCAUUGUUGAAGGUAUUGGGUAAGCAUAUCAGGUGUAUCCAACAGUAUCCAAAGUCUUUUUUUUUUUUAAAAUUCAGAAAAAAGGAUACAUCAAAUAUGUUUGCAAGACCUAUCUUAGGAAGCACUAAGAAGUAUUAGUAUUUUGAUACAUGUCCAAUGCUGACAUGGCAUACAACUAGAAAUGUCCUUGUUUCAUUGUAAGGAAAUAUUUUCUUAUGAUAGUUAGAAGAUACAUGUCAAAUAUGUAUCGAUAAAUCAUGUGCUCAUUUGACACUUUGGGUCUGUUUAGUCCUCUGGAGAUUUUUUGGAAAAGGAAAAAGAAAAUGGAAAAGUUUUCCCAAGAAAAGGAACAGUAGAAUUUCUUGGUUGCCUGGGUUAGCCAAAUCAGGAAAACAUAUUUUUUGUAUUAGUUUAGCUUUCCUACCCCUCAAAACAGCCAGAAUAUUUGAUUUUUGUAAGAACUUCUGUUUUCUAGGGCUUUAUCUAAUGUCCAAAGCAAUUGAACAGAACCUUGGAUACUCAACCAAGUUCUUUGGUUGAGGCAUUUGAAGAUGGGUAGCAGGUUGUACCCUUCCAUUUAUGAAUUCAACCAACCAUAAUGAUGUUUCAGCUUGUUCAAGAACGUAGGUAUUAAAAUAACCGUGUUAAAUAAAAUGUACAUGAUGUUCUCCAAUUUAGUAGUUUUGAUGAGCAAUAUAUACUAAAAGACCUUAACGAAUAUCACCGGUCAUGUUCUCUUGCAUAUGAUAUUUUCAAGUAUACAUGUAAUUCGGUUAAAAUCUUUUUUGUACGUUCCUGUAUCUUUAUUUUUCCUCUUCCUGAGUUCAAUGCUUGGAUAUGUGUGGACCCAAUUCUUGUGUUUGUGUCCAUAAAAUACUGUCUAAUCUGAAUUUGGAGUUAUUGCGAAGGAUAUUUGGUGAAAUUAUAUAUGCUAAUGUGAAGAACAAAACUAUGUCAGGGAGAAAUGCAUGCUUAUGAAAAAAUAUGACGCAUGAAAACAUAACAAUAUGUCAUUUUCGAAGUUUGUUAAAAAAAUGAAGAGGGCCGACCAUUUUUGGCUUUUAUCUGCAUAUAUUUUCUUUAGUGCAAAUGAAAUGCCAAGUGCAACAAGAAAGCCAUUGCUUUGGCACAACAAAAUAAAAUGUUGGGUAGAAUUCUGUUAUGUUUCGGCAAUAAGCUUUCAGUUGUCCCAAAUUGUUGGAAUCUCUUACAGAUUUAAAAGCCUGAGCUUCAAUGUGACACUAGCUUUAGCAUCUGGUGGAACUGAAGCUUUAAGCAUGAAUCCUGUACACUUCCCUGCUGAAGCUACCAAAUUAGCAAGUGAAUAUGCAAUAAGUACUAUCUGAGAUCUGAUGUUGACUUGAUUUCAGUGAACAGAUAACACACAAAGCACGGAAAAGAAUGCCAUUUUUAUGUGAUUUCUUAAAAAUGCUAUUUUUUCUGCUUUUUUGUGUGUGUUUUUUUGGAUAUUUACCAAUAGUUUGUCCUACUCUAGUAUCACAUAUGAGAGUAAAUAUGUAGUUUUUGAUGGUUUUAUCCCAUGAUUUUGCCAUCUUUGAAGCAACAAAAUUUGCAUGGCUUUUGCACUGCAGUUGAGCCAACCUUUAUGACUUUCUGUUUUCACUCUACCCUUUUCUUUUAUAUUGACAUCCUCGUAGAAACUUGUUAUUUGCAUUUGCCUGCCAUUUGAACUCAACUAAACAUUAAUCCCAAAUUAGUUUGGGUUGGCUAUAUGAAUCUUUUUUCCUUCAUUCCGUUUGAUUUAGCCCAUACUUUCUAAAAGAUGUUUAAAUAUCAAGUCAUUCAUUAGUACUUCAUCUCAUAUGAUUUUUGGUCAGCCUCUUUCCCUCUUCAUUUUUUUUGAAUGUAUUAAAUCACCCAUAGGUACUUGUGUGGUUGUGCAUCCCUUGGUAUAUCUAAGCCAUCUAAGUUGUCCUUUAUUGAAUUUGUCCUCAAUUGAUGCUGCCUUUAUCCUUUUACUCCGGACUUCAUUUUUUAUUUUAUCCUUUUUUUGUAUUACCACCAUUUUUAUUUCACCUGCUAUUUUCUCCUACCAUGUUUUUUUUUUGCUGGUCACCCUCUUUAGGGAAGCUAUAGAGCUGCAUUUUCAAUUUGAGUUGCCCAUCUGGAAACACUCAUUUUAACUUUUAUUGUGGGCUGCUGAGGAGUUGGGACUUUUAAUUUUUGUUUUCAAUGAGCCCUUUUUCCAAGAAGUUCAAAUGCUAUGAGUGUUGAACUAUAGUUUGGCCCGAGUUGGAUUCGCCAAUAACGUGCUCGGUGUUUUAGUUCGCAGGCAUGAUACCUUUAGAGAUGACAUUAAAAAAGAAAAUUCCCAUUGCUCAUGGAACUUUUGGUGAUUUUCUUUGUAAAGUGGCUAAAUCGAGCAUUGUAAAUUAGUUUUCCGUUAACAAUAACAAUAGUUAAAUCGGUUUUAGCAUUUUAUAUCAUGGUGGUACUUGAUGUGGCGUUUAGAAAAUGAUGAUUGUAUCUUAGUAGGGUUUGGAAAUCACUUGAUAACUUGUUGGUGCUGAUAUUCAUGAUCCCUGUUCCCCAGAUGCAAUUGUAUGUGUUUAUGGAGGAGUUCUGACUGGCGAAUUACAUUUGAUAUGUUUUGCUGAUCAUGAGCUCUUAGUUAAGAGAAUAAUCAAAGAAUCAAAUGAUUCUGUGUGUACAUACAUUCCCUCACCCCAAACCAAAAAAAAAAAAAAAAUUAGAAAAGGAUCUUUGAGCAUUUCCACAUUUCUUGUAUGUUCAAAGAAUUUUUUUUUUUCCUGAUAAACACGCUUGCUAUUUUCUUUGGAAGAACAUCAAGCCUUAUCUUCCCCUGUUCCCUAUAUGAUCAUGUCAGCAAAAAAAAAAAAAAAAUUCCCCUUACUAUGCUCACCUACCAAUAAAUUUUCAACAGUUUUCUUGCUAAACAUUCUUACAUUCUGAAGUUGAUGAUUAUACUUUUAUGUCCCAAGUCCCAACUAACAAAAGGAGGAUGGUUUCUAUGAUAACGAAACCGAAGGGAGGAAUCUCCGGUUAUAUUAUCAGAUUUCUUUUUUAGAAAAUAAGAAUACAAUAGUAAUAUGCCAAUUUCGAGGUGUAUUUGAGGUCCUUUUUAAUUCUAGUAUCUGUAAUAAAUUUCAUCUUCCCCGGCCCUUUCUUUUUCAGAAGAAAUGGCAGAGCAUCAUCGGUAAACCUAUACACUCAGGUACUCUACCCUUUACAACAAUUUUGAUAUUUGAGAUCGUCUCAUCUCAAGCAACACAUUAGAGAUUAAAUAUACGUGAAAAAAAUCUCAGUAGGGUGCUCACUGGAGAUAAUCCACCAACUUGAACCGCAAAUGAAAGGAAGUGGGGAGGGUGACGGGUUCCGUCAUCAUCGUGGCCAAUGCUGGGUGGCGCCAUCCGCCGGAUGGUUGCAGCGGCGACGGCAUCCUCUCCUCACCCCCAUCUUCAACAUCAGCUUUGUCCUCCUUUGCCGCUCUCUCCUUGGCGAAUGGAAAUGGAGUGGGAGAAAGGAUGAGCGGUGACAGCAAAGGGAUCGGAGCGCAAGAAGAAGGAAUGUUUUCCCAAGGGAAGGACUUGUUGGUGGGAGGCUUGAGCUGGAGGGACGUCGGGGCCUGCUUCUGUAGCCUGCUUGGAGGCUUCCUGGCGUCCUUCAAUCUCGUCGAUUCGUCUCCUCGUGGGAUUUUUCUUUCCAUGAUGGCAGCUUCUAGCUUCUCCGAUAUCUAGAAGGUACAAGUCGUUUGCGAGUUUUAUAACAAAAGGAGGGGGGGUUGGAAUUUGGCUUGGAGGGAGGAAGGUAGUCAGCCUCCUAUUCUUGCGGCUGUGGUCGUGAGAAAAGAACUCCAUAAUGUGAGGCAAAGAGAACGGUUAGUUGUUGAAAUGUAAACGACUUUAAUAACUGUAUUCAAAUCAAAACGGUGGCUAGGCUCCUCCUCACGCCACCCAUGUCCAUAUCCUCAGAUGAUGUGCAGCAUAUCUAAUGCUACGUUCAUGUUAGAUUAAACUGUCCGAUGUUAUAUUCUAUAACUUGCUUUGAUAAGGCAUAAAUUUUGCAUAACCGAUUUUGAUGCCCGCGUAUUGCGGCUGUGUCAAGCUACAACGCAAUGUAGAUGGAAAAUAUCGUUAAAAUAUUGCAACAUAUUGCGAUUUAAUUAUAUGCAACUGGCACAGCAAAAAGUAAUCUUUCUGUUCUUAUGACCAAGAAUCAAAAUUGCCGACAAACAAUAGAACAAAAUGCUUCAGGAUGUUGAUUUUGUGCAUAUGAGAGUUAAGCUCACAAAGAUUUGAGGGUUAACUCAGCAUUCAACCAUCCUGCUGUUAAUGGAACUGGUCCUCUCCUUCCCGUGCUAGAGAACUUCUUCGAGCUUGCAAGGAGCGGCAUGGAAUUGCUCCAAUAAAAUUGCGACACAUCAACUGUUUUCUAUCCAGCUCAGAACUACUCUCAUACGAGGAGGCGCGGGCCCCGGUGGGCAGUUGCCUUCUUGGUAACAGAAAGUGAGUGCGGUUUCCUCGUUCCUUUUAUUUUUCCCCGGUGAGCUUUUAUUUUGGCCCUUUCUUCUCCCGCGUCUCUGCUCCCAUCUGUACCGGUACCCGCCACCACCAUCGCCGCCCUGAUUCGCGACCUUCUCCGGCCGUCAAGAAGAGGAAAACCUUCAGAUCGACCCAAAUACUUCUCCUCUGUGCGCCCAGAUCCAUCUCGCAUCUCAGAACGGGAUAAUGGGUUCGGUACAUGGGUGUGGGUCAGCAAGAUCAAAAGAACUAAAGAUUAGAAAUAUCUGGCAGUUCUAAUUAAGCAGUCCCUUAAACUCCACAUUCAUCCCAUUCUCCUUCUGAAAUCAAUUGACAUGGGGUCCAUAUCUCGCCUCUUUAACCAUUUCAUUGCGAGUACUUUUCUUAACAUAAUCUUUUUGUUUAGUUGACUUCGUGAAUGAGCCCCCUUUGUUGUUUGUGUGCAUUUAUGGCAUGAGGCUUGUUUGAUUGUUAUGUCAGAACGACAUGACAUAUCACUGUUCUAGUAUCAUUCUCAGAGAUGAUAUUACUAUUAGUCAUGCAUUUAAGUAGUUUUUGUACCAUUGAUUUUCCAAAAUGACUAAUUCACCAGUGUAUUUUAUGUUGCAAGGCAUAAGAAUCGCCUGCCAUGAAUUUGCUAUUAAUUAUUAUCUUUUAGUUUAGCCUCCUACAGAAAAUUUCUCUUAGUAUCGUGGAUGUAUUAUACCAUAGAUCGGUGAGAUAAAAUGACAUCUGGUAGAAAUAGAACUGCAUGGACAAAGUGAAAAUGUGCUUUUGGUGUUUAUGUGACGAGAAGGUUCAAUGCUUGAGAAAUUUGUGUAUUAGGAAAGACACUAAUGUGUUAAAUUUAGUGAUACGUGGUAGAUAAAUCACUUAAUCUAUAGUGAGUUAUUUGAAGUGGCCUUCUAGGAGUGGCUUUCUAUGUAAGUGCUUUCAGGAGAAAGGGACGGAAAUCUACAGAGACAAUCCUGUAAGUCACGAGAAAGGAUUUGAAAGACAAAUGUUAGUCUAUUAUAUGAAUGAACAGUGAAGAACGAUUUACAAAACUUAGAUAAUUCAGGUAAAAAGCUUUCUAUGGCUAUAUUUUUCCUUGCUCCCUUCAACAAAGAAAAAACAAGGGUUUGUCUUUCUGGAACGGAACAAUCAAAUUGAUGAAUGAGUUCAUUGGUUACAGUUAUAUGUUUUCCCUUUCUCCCUCUUCUUAUAAGUGAAGCCUUUUUUUGCAAGUAUUAGUCAUAGAAUUUCUUAUUCUAGCAGUAUAGUAUUGCUUUGUCUUGAUAGAAUUAAUUUCGGACAUGAAAACUGGGAACCGAACUAUCAGGUCCUUUAUAUGUUGAAGUGCCUGAAAGAGCCUUUUUUUGGAGAUUGACAUGUGCUUGCUCUUGAAGCUGCAAAACCUUCGAGUUGGCAAUGAGGAGAACAAGUUCAUACUCCUCUGUGCACAUGUUUAGGAGAUUUAUAAACAGCAACAUAUUUUGGAUGCUCAGGUGCUAUUGAAAGCUGUGGCAUUACUCUUUUGCUUGAUUUAAUUAAUUUCCUUUUCUUUCAGGUUCUAUGAGCUUUAGUAUUGCUGUUCUGGCCCUUUCAAUGGGACACUCAGCUUUGAUCCUGUCUAAGCAGCAGUGGAAGCAAUGGGUUUAAAGCACUAAUCUAAAUCUCUGGCUGAGGAGAUACUAGUUUUCUCAGGCUCAAAGUUACUUAAGCUGGCAAGUUCGAUAUGAAAAAAAUAGAUCUAUGUACCAUAUAUCCAACAUAUGAUGAUUAUUUUCUGGGUUAGGCUUUUCCCACUGGUAAAGUGCCUGAACUGCAUAAAUUCAAGCAAUAUUUUUGGAGGUUUCUUAAACAAUCUCAUGGCUUGGGAUUCCAGGUUUCAUUUCCAAUACUAUUUCUAAAAUGUUAGGAUUAUCCCUUGCCAGUUGCCACAUGGCUGAGCAUGAAUCACUGAACCAAUGUUGCUUGUCUCAUUACCCAGGCUUCUCUUGUAAGAGGUCUAUAGUCUCACUGGCCAGAAUUUGUUAUAAAGAUUCUGUAAUCAAUGUCAUGCAAUUGUUUGUUUGUAUCCAGUGCGGUGACUUUGUUUCUGGUGCAGUAUUUAUUUAACACUUUGUGUUAUAUAUGAAAACUUUUCUGGUUGUUAUAUUUAAAUGUAAUUGCUCAUGCUGAGUUUAUUCCACAUAUCAACUAUGAGAAAGGUUUAGUAGCUAGAUCUUGAUGGAAUUGGAAAUUGCUUCAACUAUAAUUAUACUUGCUCAUGCAGCGUUUAUUCCACAUUGUGAUCAUGAGAAGGGAUUGGUAGCUUGAUCUGAUGAUGGAUGGAAAUUGCUUCAACUAUAAUAAAUGGCCAUGGAAGAAUUUGUUUGGCAGAGCCGUAGCAUCUGGGAUGUAUGUUAGUCUGACUCUUUCUGUGGCCAUUGCUUUGGAGCUUUAAUUUCUGCUGCUUUGUGUUAGAGCCCAUGUGGUGCUGCCAACGAUUAGAUGGGCGGUGGGUGAUGGACGUUCCAUUGAUGUACUUGAGGAUAUUUGGGUGACGGAUUUUCCUAUCAGUCGUUUGUCGACGUUGGUGGAUACGGACAGAUUACAGGGGCUUAGGGUCUGCGAUCUGAUUGUUCCGGGUGAGGGAUGGUGGCAUGAGAGUCUGAUUCGGGAGGCGUUUGGAGAGCAGUUAGCGGCGAGAGUUUUGGCCUUACCUGUUCCAUCACUGGAGGGGCCCGACAGAUUGAUAUGGGAGCCGACCGGCAGAUCGAGGGUUCGUGCCAGGGAUCUUCACUCUUGGAUAAGUAGGGUGCCAGACAGACAGAUCGAUGCGGGUUGGAGGCUGAGGUUGCAUCCUCGUGUGGCGCUUUUCCUCUGGAAGGUAUCCUGGGGCUGCCUUCCGACUAGGUGCGUUCUAGUUAGGAGGGAUGUAAGGAUAACCCAGUAUUACGAGGUAUGUCCGGAUCUCGAGGAGUCCAUACAUCAUGUCUUACUCCGAUAUCCUAGGGCGGUACAGAUCUGGAGCUGUUUAUCUGCAGCCCUACCCUCGAGGUGGGAGUCAGUGGUGGAUUUGUUACAAUUCUUGAGGGACUCCACCAGGAGAUCUAGCACAGCCAUGUUUGGGGUUGCAGUUGCCUAUCUGGCCUAUCAUAUAUGGCUGGAUAGGAAUGGACGGCUGUUCGAGGGGAGAGGGUUGCACCCGAGGAUUGUUAUGGAUAGAGCUAUGGCCCAGGCAGCGGAGGUCUGUUUGGUGACUCCAUCGACGUCAUCUGAGUUGGCUAGGGACAUUUGGGGUACCUCUUCUGCUGUUUCAGCGCCUAGGUAUGCUUCUCUUUUCUGGGUACCCCCACCCCCUGGUUUUCUUAAGUUGAAUUUUGAUGGUGGUAUGGCGAUGGAUAGAGCUUCGGGAGGAGUUGGCUUUGUUAUUAGGGACCAGUAUGGCAGAUUGAUUGCAGCUGGUGGUCGGAGCACUCCAGGCUUGACUGUCAUUGGGGCGGAGCUACGAGCUGCUUGGGAGGGUAUCCGGUAUGCGAGAUGUGUGCUGGGUGUUGAUAGACUGUGCAUUAAGGGCGACUCUGCCACGGUGAUUGACUGGAUACGGGGGGCGGAUAGAUAUGGUGACGGCCACCCAUUGAUUCGAGAUACCCGCAGACUAGUUCAGGAGAUGCUAGCUGUCCAGAUUGGUCAUGUGUAUCGUGAGGUAAACAGAGCUGCGGACUGGGUAGCCUCAUAUGUGGCUCGCCACGAUGGGGACGUCAUCUGGACGAGUCUAGCUGGUGUUCCCCAUUUAUUGCUCUGUUUACUUUUCUCUGAUUUAGCAGGAUGUACUUUUUGAUUUAGUGGAAAUGGAUUGCCGUUUUACCAAAAAAAAAAAACUCAUCUGAUUUGAGAGAUCCAUGCUGCGAUUUGUGUUUACCAAAAUGACAGCAGUUUGUGCAGUCGAAAUAACCAUUUUCUAGCUCUUCCAUAUUUUGAAUUCAAUCAGUUCAUAGAUAUGGUUCCUCCCUGCUCUUAGUGGAGAUGAAUGCGGUCAACUGGUGCAGUGAGGAGGGCCGUAGCGCAAGUAGCUCAAUAAGAUGAGAGUUGAUGGGAGAACCCAUGAGACGAACACAUUGAUAAUAGGAAUGCAUGUAUGAACUCGGGCGAAAAAUUCUCACUUUUAAGGAGGACACGGAGCUAGAAACUGCAUGUAUUUACCCUUAAUCUUUGGUAUAUAUGUGAGCACAUUAGCUUGUUUAUAUCAAUUAAAAAGUAUCUCUUCCAUUAUUGUAUCUCGAAAAAAAUGGUGAUCUUUCUUUCUUUUGAUAUGACUGGAUGUACUCGUGUUGGAUCUAUAUGAAUUGCCGUAUUUACUAAAAAAAAAUGAUUUAUAUGUUUUUUUGGGGUAUGCACUCUUGGCCUACAUGGUGGCAGUAAUCUUUAGUGUUUAUCCAAAAAUGAUUGCGCUCACAUUUUUUUGGAGCAUGCAUGCGUACGUAUGCCCACAUACACCACAUACACACAAAAAAAAAGAAAAAAAAGAAAAAAAAGAAGAAAAAGAUGGCAGCCCAGUUCAGAUUAGAAUGAAAAAAUAAAAAGAUCUGAACACACGCAGCAAAAAAAUGGAAUCAUAAUUUGGAGAAAAAGGCUAUUUUACCUGGCUAAGAAACACCUAAAGAAUGGAUUGGUGGUGAAGAUAUUUCCUAGCACCAAAACCACCCCUUUGCCCCAGCCAAGGUCCCACCUGCAGGGACGCCAGUUUGGACGCAACUUAUCGGACCUGCAACAAUAGGCUCCGAAGCUGCCACGCGUCGCCUUGCCUAAUCUCCAGCGUGUGGCCCUCAGGGUUUGGACAGCCGCUCCACAGGAGCCCAAGCGAUGGAAAUUUCAGAACUUCCCCUCACCACACCACUACCUAAAAAAACCAGAGCCAAAUAUUCUUCUUAUAUAUACAAGCCUCCUCCCUUGCUCAACCUCGAGCAAACCAGUGGCAGACCUCUCCCUGGUUGAGAUCAGAGCUCUCGUCCUCCACUUCCGUCCCUCGGCUCCCAGAUGGCCACUGCUGUCUCGACCGUUGGAGCUGUUAACAGAGUACCGGUACUGCCUAUUUAAUUAGACUUAACCUUGCAUGCAGAUGAUUUCUGUCGUUAACUUCUUGUAUUGAGUAGUUUUGGUAUUCUUGGUGCAGCUGAGCUUGCAUGGCUCUGGCUCGGGAGCUUCGGUUCCGAGCUCGGCCUUCUUCGGGAGCAGCUUGAAGAAGGUGAGCUCUAGCUUGAGCCAUGGGAAGGUUUCCACCGGCACUUUCAAGGUCUUGGCUGCCGACCUCGAUGAGUCGAAGCAGACCGAGAAGGACAAAUGGGCUGGGCUUGCAUUCGAUGAAUCCGACGACCAGCAAGAUAUCACCAGAGGGAAGGGUUUGGUUGAUUCCCUCUUCCAAGCUCCCAUGGGUGAUGGCACCCACAUCCCCGUCAUGAGCUCCUAUGAGUACAUCAGCCAGGGUCUUCGCCAGUAAGGGAACUGAAAGAGCUCUAGUUCUAUAUUUUAGAUGCUGCGUGGUUCAUUAAUGUAUAGGAGUGGAAUACUUAUCUGAUCUUGGUAUUAUGGUUUUCCAGGUACAACUUGGACAACACCGUGGAUGGGUUCUACAUAGCCCCAGCUUUCAUGGACAAGCUUGUGGUUCACAUCAGCAAGAACUUCAUGGACCUGCCUGGCAUUAAGGUAUCACCAAACAGCUAAUUUGACAGGUUAAUUUAUGUUUCGGUUGCUGUUGGUUGGACCUAAAUGUUUUUGGUGGUGGCUUUUGGACAGAUUCCCCUCAUCUUGGGUAUCUGGGGUGGCAAGGGUCAAGGGAAAUCUUUCCAAUGCGAACUCGUCUUUGCCAAGAUGGGGAUCAAGUGAGUCUUUCUUCCUGCUUAUGUUCUGCCCCUGUGCAUCUAUUUGCUUUUCUUUCCGCCUCUUUCGAUAAGUGCUUGGCAUUGGUCUUCCAAGAUCCGUCGAUUGCUCUUUUUAUAUGAAUUGGAAGACUGUUUCUGUGAUUCUAGUUUGAGUUACAGGUUGCAAGAAAUUAGAAUUUUAUUUCCUGUUUCUGGACCUUUGUUCUAAUGAUUUCUGCACAGUAGAAAUGUGCGAAGUAUGAUUUCAUAAAUCUAUUAAACUAAUUAUAGAGAUCAAUCAACUAGUCGCUUGGUUUAGUCAUGAUGCUGAAGCUGGGUGGUAACUCUGUUUUGCAUCUAUAGUAUCUUCACUCGAUGAUAGCACCGAACAAAAUCUACAGAUAUUCUCUUUGAGGUAAGUUCAUUAAUCUUUGAUUCCAGUUCCUUGUAACAUCAGAUGUCUUAUUUCUCUAACCUGUGUUGCCUUCUAAUUUUUCUUCAAUUAUCAUACUAUCAUCUGGUCCUAUACCGUCCUAUCCAUUUUAAUUUAAAUUCUAGCACAGAGAAUCUGGGAACCAUCUAGGAUCUCUUUGUAUCAGGCAGAAAAUUUCUACCUGAUCCAGGUUCUGGUUUCUCUAAUUGCCCGACCAGAUGAAGCAUUUACAGUCAGAACUCGAGAUCCCACUAAAUUGUGCCCUUUGAUUCCCAUCUCCUUCGAUCAAGGUCGAAGUUAUCCCUCUGCUUGGUCAUUCAUCAUCUCCUCGAGCAAUCAGAGGACAGGAUGCAGCUAGUUCUUCAAGUUGCUCGAUGACCAACAACAUGAUCUAUUAGACUCUCACAUGAUUCUCUCCUUCAAUUGCUGAAUUAUAAUAUAGAUUCAAGUUCAUGCUUGACAUCACACCACUCAAUGCAUUCCCACAUAUAAGACUUUCACUGGAUAUUGCCUUGCUCUCUGCGCCGUGGAAUUGCUGGUUCCCAGCAUGCAAAAUUCAAACGUGGAGAGGGGGAAAAACCAGGACUCAAAUAACCAACCCACUCAUCGGUUUGGAGAGCAAGUGCAAUGCAUGCAUGCAUGCAUGUAUUGCAUGGUGAAUGAAUUCCUUUCUGAUAUCUUCAUCUGUGGAAACAUCUUCCUCUAUAGAAUCGAGUCAAUGCUCCCUAAUGCUUAUCUUAUGGUGGUUGCUGCUUUCCAUUCACAAUAUUUAUCCGGAUGUUCGCUUCUUCUUCCAUUCAGCCCUGUCAUGAUGAGCGCUGGAGAAUUGGAGAGUGGGAAUGCAGGAGAGCCUGCAAAGUUGAUCAGGCAAAGAUACCGCGAGGCGGCAGACAUCAUUAGAAAGGGGAAGAUGUGCUGCCUCUUCAUCAAUGAUCUUGAUGCAGGAGCAGGAAGGAUGGGUGGCACCACCCAGUAUACUGUCAACAAUCAGAUGGUGAACGCUACCCUUAUGAACAUCGCCGAUAACCCAACCAAUGUGCAGCUCCCUGGCAUGUACAACAAGCAGGAGAAUCCUCGCGUCCCCAUUAUAGUUACUGGGAACGACUUCUCCACCCUGUAUGCCCCUCUCAUUCGUGAUGGUCGUAUGGAAAAAUUCUACUGGGCGCCAACCAGAGAGGACCGUAUCGGCGUUUGCCAGGGUAUAUUCAGGACCGACAACAUUCCCAAGGAAGAUGUCAUCAAGCUUGUCGAUGCCUUCCCAGGCCAGUCCAUUGGUAAGCCCCUUGAAAACCAUCAUAUCUCAAUAAACUACACACUAAUCUUCUUGAACACGUUGGGAGGAAUAACUCUUCUUCACUGCACUGAAAUGGUAGAAUCAUGAUAAGAAUGAUGGAUGGUUGCUCUCUUUGUAUGCAGACUUCUUCGGUGCCCUCCGGGCCAGAGUCUAUGAUGAUGAAGUGAGGAAGUGGAUUUCAGAGAUUGGAAUUGAUAAGGUUGGAAAGAGGCUUGUUAACUCGCGUGAAGGAGCACCAACAUUUGAGCAGCCUACGAUGACCCUGGACACGCUCAUGGAGUACGGUAAGAUGCUGGUGAUGGAGCAGGAUAAUGUGAAGAGGGUGCAGCUGGCGGACAAGUACAUGAGCGAGGCUGCGCUUGGAGAUGCCAAUCAGGAUGCCAUGAAGACUGGAAAUUACUAUGGUUAGCACUCUAAUCCUAGGGGCCUUGAUGGGAGGUUUGCAUCUCGCUUCUAGAUCGACUAGUCCUUCCUGAAGGCUAACAAAGCCUUUUCUUGUUUCCCUAAUAUACACAGGCAGCAAAUAAGAUUGGGCUUUUCGCUUAUCUGUUUGUUACCUGGGUGCAGGCCAAGCAGCCCAACAAGUCCAUGUGCCAGUUCCAGAAGGCUGCACCGAUCCAUCUGCUAAAAAUUACGAUCCUACGGCUAGGAGCGAUGAUGGAAGCUGCGUAUAUACACUUUAAGCUUUGUGAUUGACGGGAAGCCUGGCAAAUAAUCUUUUUUUAUUAUAUAUAUAUAUAAGCAAUGACUUAAUGGAGUAAUCGUAUUAGAACUUUAUGUACCUAUGCUAUACUUGUGUGUACUUUCUUUCAUUUAUAAAUGGGUUUUCUUUUAUGAUUGACUGAUUUGCUGCGACUAGAUAAGAUGGUAACGUGAAGGGCCAUUCAAGCUCUCUAUGAAAUAUGUGGCAAUCGUAGGAUCGGACUUGGAGCGUCGAUGGGAGCUGUUUGGAUGCAUUAUAAGACAUGAGCAUGGUCAUGUGAUCGGUGGAACACAGAUCUCAAAGUAACAAUUGCGCAAUCAGAUGGUGGUCUCGUGCGAAGGAAGGUGGAUCCUUCUUGCGUGCGAAAGCUAUACAAAACACUUGCGUGGUUUGGAGUUUAGUUUUGUCAGGGCCGGCCUAGGCUGAGGCGGUCGCCUAAGGCUCUGGUCCAAAGAAAGUCCACUUUAGAAAGGCCUCAAGGACAAAACAGAAAGAAAAAUGCUCUCUUUAGUGAGUUCGCCUUAGGCCACCCCACUGUAGGAAAGGUCUUAAAUACAAAAUAAAAGAAAAAAUACUCCUUUUAAUGAGUUCGCCUUAGGCUCUCAAAUGCAUUGAACCGCUCCUGAGUCCCGUGAUCACAUAAUCUUGCAAGGCGAAAGCCUCCUACCAUUCUCUCAAGUUCUGCAUGUGCUAGAAUGUUGCCGCCCUUGAUGUCUCUAUUUAUUGACAACUUGCUCCCAUUCCUCGUACAAGUAGAAAGCUUAGAUGCCACAUUCUUGAUUAUUUGAAAGCGUAGAACAGCACACUAUCUGAAAUAGAUCAAUUGUGCUGGCCUACAAUCCAGAGCAAACAACAAACAUAACAAAAAAAUAAAAAUAUAAAUUUGCAGAAAAUUUUGAGAAGAAAAUAAGUGGAAGAAAAAAAAUGAAAGAGAAAAAUAAAUUUAUUCAAAAAAAGCCAAAAUAAAUAGUUUUCUCAUAAAAAAAAGACUCACCCCUCCAAUGCCUUUCUCAACCGCCAAAAAGAAUUUGUUCACUUAGCUCGUUCUCCAUAUUUAUAAAAGCACACUCUCUCUUCCCCGAAAGAAAGAAAUAUAUUGAGUCUUAAAAGUAACACUAGAAAGUAAACUAUUCCAACUAGAAUUGGAAUAGAAAACAAAGAUAUAAAUAGAACAAGCAGUAUACUUCAACAAAAACUUUGAACCUAGUCAAGCAUAGAUUGGGGUCGAUCAAACUGAACAUGUCGAGGCUGCCAUUAAGCAUGAAGUCAUAGUCCAGUCAGAGCUCUCCGUUUGGCGGGCAACAAGACAAGGAGCUGCACCAAGUUCUUGCGACGGAGCCGACCCCCAUGCUUAUAAUUUUUGCAAUAAACUCUCUCUCUCUCUCUCUCAUCCCUUGUCUUCAUUCCCAUGAGACUUUCUUCACUGCGACUUGGUUAUUGCUGAUGGGCAGCAAACCUUUGCAGACCAUGCCAAACCUCCACCUGGGCCAGCCCGGUCCAAUAGUGAAAACCCCUAAGCUCCCAUAGCUCCCUUGACGACUAUGGUGCUCCUGUCCCUUUUGUUGGGCCUCGUCGUGAAUAGCCGGCCGACAAACUUGGUGCCACUCCCGAAGUAUUCCUUGGAAGUAAACGUCCGAAGAAAAAAAGAAAGAAAGAAAGAAAACGAGAACAUCUAUGAAGUCUUUGCCACCCAUUCUCCACAGAGCCAUCUACAAGACUGCAACACUUCCUGAUGAAUAGAUCACCAAUAAUUUCUUCUGUUUUCUUCCACCUCUUCUUCAUCCUCUUUGCAAUGGCGGAGCAGAACAAGGAAUUUCGGCAUCCCCAAGAUGAUAAACCACCCCAUCCAGCAAAGUGAGUUGCUUAGUAUUUCUUACUUAUUUUUACUCUCUUAUGUGUCUCCUUCUAUCAAUCGUAUUCUAAAAUAACAGUUAUCUAUUUGUCAUGCGCUACCAAAUGUAAUGUAGAAGUCUCUCACACAUUACUUUUUUUCGAUGUCCUCUUCCAACUUUUAUAUAUGGGCCGAUCAAAUGGAUAAACCUAGUUCAUUAUUAGCUGAGUUGAAUGUUACACAAUAAUACAUAAAAUACGAACACAAAUAAAAAAAAAUGCAGAACUAAAAUGAACAUACUUUGGCCUGAAUUGAGGUUUUCAAGAAAUAACAACACCUCUCAACAAUAUUGUAAUAAAUGCAAAAAGGAAGGGAAAAGAAAUAGGAGAGAAGGCAAGAAGGAAGAGAAAAUACCUUGAGCCGGGAUAAAGAGGUUUCUGCGAGUGGAGUGAUCGAUCGAACGUAUUGCCGAUUUUACGAAAGCAGGAAACUGGAAUGCGGGAUUGGAGAGGGCCCGUGGAGGUCCAAUUCCGGUUCAAGCCUUGGGUCCGUGUCCAUCGUAAUAAGGGCCCCGAUCUAAUGGAUAGGCCCGGUCCGCAUAACUCAAAAUAUUAUGACACGUCACACCCAUAUGUAUGGGAUGACGAGUGAUGAGAAAUGGACACACCAUCUGCCACCGAAUUAUUUAUUUGUCUUUCUUGUAAGUUUGUCGACCGUGAAAGAGACAAGAAGGAAGAAAGUCAUCAUACGAUUGUAAAACCUGUCCACAUGCAUAAUUAGGUCCGCUUAAUUUUCUAUAGAGACAGCGGUAAAUGAAUGGCUAUGCUGCCUUUGAAGAGGUUGUUUUAAUAUUAAAAAAAAACCUUUGAUUUGUAAGUAAUUGCCUACAUAAUAGGAUAACCCUCCCUCAAAUACUCUUAACCCCAUAACCUUGAUCAAGGUAGGAUAUUAUAUCAUGGACCUAUUUUACCAUAAUUAGUAGUAAGGCUUUCUUUUCCCUUUUAAUUUAUAAGUGGGAUGUUGCUAAUUGAACUUCUUCAUGAAAAUUUACUCCUUUUGUUUUUUCAAUGAUGCCAAUUAAACAUUGCUAUGUAACUUAUCCUUUGGUUCUCUUACUCAAGCUAGCUUUCUCUUUACCUCAAUCCACUAUAGAUUUUAGAGGUCCAUCUUAAUUCUCAUCUCCUCGAGUAAAGUGCCAGGUUUAGACAUACAGAACCAUUCAAUGAAGCAUUUCACCCCAAGUGCUUGUUUGAUUGCAGAAUUGCAUGCCAUUGUCAUAUGCUCUUUUAAUUUCUACCAGAAAGCCGAAUGUGCUCUUGCUUGGGGCAUGUGUCCUGGAGCCUAGUUAGCAUUACUCUUCCGAAGUUCAUAAAACAAGAUGACCAUCCAAUUGGAAUUCUUUUCUUCUAAUAAUAUUGAAAUCGUUUUCACCAGAAAAAAUAAAUAAAUUGAAUUCAUGUCUUAAGUCAAUGAAGUGUAUGAACUUAUCAUACUUUUGAACUAGGGUCAUGUCUAUCAUAAUUUUUCUAUUUUGGUAUUCUCAGUACCUAUCUAUAGGAAUCAUGCCUCUCGUAGAUUACUAAUAUAUAUGUUCUCUAUCCUCAGUAGCUAUCUGUACGUAGUCCAAAUAUAUAAAAAAAAAGACGUCGUCGUCUCUUGAAGUUGAUUGGCCUCCUGUACUUUGCAUCUGAGCUGCUAACUUGUGGCAGCCUGUCUAUAUGAUAAGACCGGAUUUAAUGCGAGUCUUGCCCAAUUUCAGUGCAGCUCUUUGGUUAUUCUUCGCAACAGUCUCAGCACUUAUUGGUGGUUGAGGAGAAUCUAUCCUUAUAGAAUCCAAUCCACCGGAUAACUCCCACCUGAAAAUAGUUGAACAAAAGAUACCCUCCUCCCCAUACCGUAUCUAAGCUUGGAUGCAGCCCUUCUGGCCGAAAGCGAGAAAAACCCAUCCCUUUCUUUCAUUUUUAUUUUGUACCUCCAUAUCCCGCCUGUGUGACACGGUCUAGGGACGUCGAAACAAAAAAAAAAAAAAAUCCUAUCAACUAACUUAGUCCUUAUAUUUAUCUAUCUGGCCAUGAGAUAGAUUAGCAGCUACUCUCUUGGACGUAGAAAUAAUUGUGUCAUUCGUAUACUUGUGGUGGUUUCGAUUAUAUCGUACAACAAUUCUCUCUCUCUCCAAAAAUAUAUUAAAAAAAAAGCUUGUGCAUCGAUAUAUG
rnacentral:lncRNA from 1 species